rnacentral:lncRNA from 1 species
GCUAAAGGCACGUUUUGGUGGAAGAGGGUAGGGAUAUGAUAUUGUUUGGUCAUGAUCAUAACCCACUCUCCUUGUGUAAAUGUUUAUUCCAAUAAUCACCUAGUGGUGGAUUUGAUUGUGUGUCUGUGUUAUUUUAUUUUAUUCUAUGUUUUAGCUAUUCCAAAUGUUAUGAUAUAUGGUUACUUGUGAUAAUGAAGUAAUAAAUUGUGUGUGAUACAUUUCUUGGUUCCUCUUUCUAUCUCUCAACCUGUCUCCUAAUUUUUUUGUUGAAUUAUGGCAACAUUUAAAAUUGAAUUGAAGAUUGAAUGAGCACGACCUGGAGAUUAUGAUUUAAUUAGCUCAAUCACUUGAAUCACAAUUGAACUAAAUGAUUAAUCUAUAAAUAAAAAAAGUAAUUGCAAAAACAAAUCUUAUUAAAUUAUUACGAUUCAAUCGGUUCAACCUUAUUCAAAAUGACUUCGAUGCGACUAUGAUUUCUAACCCAUUUUAUUUUAGAUUUAACUAGUUGAACUAAUAAUUUAAUAGAAUAUGCAACUUAGACUUAUUUACCAUUUUUGGGUGUUAGAAGUUAGAAAAUUUUACAUGAUGUGGAUAACAUCACAAUACAAUUCAAAGUAGUGGGCUAUAAUUUAUGAGAAAUGAUAUUUGAACAAUAAUUUUUAACAACUUUUGUGACAACUUUAUCUCUCAUACUCACAUUAAUUUUUUACUCUCUCUCUAUUGCUUUGGUUUUUGUGUCACUAUCUCAUUUCUUUUGCAAAAUUUUGAUUGUCACAAAAGUUGUCACAUGUAUGGAUGUUCAUAUAACACAACUCAUAAUUUAUUCAUUAAAACCUUACUUAUAUAUCAACAAGCAAAACUAGGCGUAAGACGAUUGAGUCAGCCUCUACUUGGUAGUUGGUUCUAAUCUCAUUGCCAUUGCUUCGGUGCAUCAACCUCGAGAGUGUGGAAACGGUAAAUUGGUUUGCGAGUACUGAUUCGCGGUAUUUUAAUGAAUUUGUUUGCGCAAAAUCGUGAGCAAUUCAUAGCAAAGUGCGUACGUGACAGAAGUAUAAAACAAAUCAAACAAGUUUAAUUCAAAUUUCACAUAUUGUAUGUCAAACACAAUAAAUAUCUGACCAACUUGAUAGAAGAGCUCAUCUGCCAUGAACAUGCAGCAACCAUUAGUGCAAACUGUAAAAUUAGGUCAUAGAAAAUUCAAGGCUAAAAUAUGGUUUUAGUCCCUGCAAAUAUGUCUCGUUUUGGUUUUAGUCUCUGUAAAAAGAAAAUUUUGUUUUUGGUCCCUGCUAAAUAAUUUGUUUUUGAAAAUAGUCCCUAGCCCCACUUUUGUGAUGAUUUGCAUACGUGUUACAUUAUAACUGAACCAAUUUUGUAGUUUUUGGUCCCUGCAAAAUAUUUUGUUUUUAAAAAAGGUCCUUGAAUUUUUUUUUUGUUUUUGAAAUUUUUUGCAGGGACCAAAAACAAAAAAUUUUGUUUACAGGGACUAAAACCAAAACGAGGCAUAUUUGCAGGGGCUAAAACCAUAUUUUAGCCAAAAUUCAAAUGCAUAGUAGUGUGUACCACUACCAACCUGGAUGUUGUGCAGGGGCAGCUAAGAAGCUUAUAGUAAAAUGGUCAUAUAGAGAUUAAGGUUCUUGUAUAUGCAAAAACAAUGAUUAUAAAGAGUCAUAUAUUAUAUAUAGGCUUAAAUAAGUAAAAGGUCUCUGUAAGUUGGCGCAUUUUUGGUUUUAGUCCCUGUAAGUUUUUUUGUUGCGAGACAAACCCUGUAUUUACCAAACGUUUUGGAUCUAGUCCCUGCCGUCCAAUUCCGUGAAAAAAUGAUGACCUUGCUAACGGAGCAAUACGUGGCACUUCGUGAGUUGGCACUAGUUGAUGACUGGGGUUAAUAUAGGGACUAAAACCAAAAAUGCAAUUUAACAUAGGGACUAAUUUAAAAAAACGUAAUCAUCAAUUUUUAAAUUUUAAAAACCAGUCUUUCCUUCUUCUUCCUCUCUCUGUUCUUUCCUUCUUCUUCCUCUAUUUGUUAGUUCUUUAAUUGCUUGUGCCCAAAAACUCAAACCUCAUUUCCUUCAACGAUGUCUUCUCAUUCCAUUUCUCAUUCAUCAUCAAAUGAGUUGCCUAUAAGUGCCAAUUACUUCUUUAAGUUCUGCUUCAUUUGUUCCUCCUUGAGUCUCCAAAAGCAAAUCAGUGAUAAUUACUUCCAUUUGUUUCCCCUCGCGCACCUUAAUCUUAGCCCAUCCAACCAAGUUUGUGUCACCAAAAUCCUCCUUAUCACCAGGCCUUUUCCCAUUAAGAAGUUCCAUCAUUACAACACCAAAUGAAUAAACAUCACCCUUUGCAGUGCACCUGAAACUUUGGUAAUACUUUGGUGGAACAUAUCCAGGUGUUCCUGCUAGUGUGCUUACACUGAGAUGUGUAUCAAGUGCACUUAUUAGUCUUGCCAUUCCGAAAUCCAAGACUCUUGACUCCAUUUCAUUGUCAAGUAAUACAUUGCUUGACUUCAUGUCUUUGUGUAUGAUGUGAGGGAUGCAAUUAUGAUGCAGAAAACAAAGUCCUUUAGCAGCACCUCUUGCAAUCUUCUUCCUUUCUUCCCAUGUUAAAAUUCGUCGAUCACAUGUCUUUAUUCUUCUGUGGAGCAUCUCUUCUAGGCUUCCAUAUUCCAUGUAUUCAUAAACAAGUAGCCUCUCUUCUCCUACUUUGCAGUAUCCCAAUAAAGGGACAAGGUUUUUAUACUUGAUUUUUUCUAAGGUUUCCAUCUUAGCCAUGAAUUCUCUAUCACCUUGGCAACUCAGUCGAAUGAGCUUCUUUAUCGCGACACAUGUUCCGUCUUUGAGUGUGGCCUUAAACACUUCACCAAAACCACCACAACCAAUGAGGCUUGCUGCUGAGAAGCCAUUGGUUGCUUCAAUCAACUGUGAGAAUUUAAGCUUUCUCAAUUACCUCUGAAAUGUUGCAAUAUUAAUGCAUAAUGGCUCUUUCUCUUUAUCAAUUUUCCAUGUUGUAGCAGCAUGACAUGCGAAUUGGAGAUGAACAUCCUCAUAAUUUUUCUACAACCACAUAUUGACAACUCAUUUGAUGAUGAUUGACAAAUGGAAUGAGAAUACAUUGUUCCAUGAAAUGAGUUUUUGGUGUUAGGGCGCAAAGCUAUCGAAGGGUGGGAAUGGCAGAAAUGAAGAAGAGAGAAAUAACAUAGUGAGGAAGAAGGUGGAAAUAAUAAGUUUUAAAAUUCAAAUUUUGAUGAUUAUGUUUUUUAUUUUCAUCCCUAUGUAAAUUUGCAUUUUUGGUUUUAGUCUCUCUAAUAACCAAUUGCCAACUCAUCAUAUGCCACAUAUUAGUCCGUUAGCCAGCGAAGCGUUUUUUUGACGGAAACGGACGGCGGGGACGAAUGUCAAAAUGUUAAGUAAAUACAGGGGUUGUUUCGCAACAAAAAAAGAUACAGGAACUAAAACAAAAAAUGCGCGAACUUACAGGGACCUUUUUCUUAUUUAAGCCUUAUAUAUAUAUUGUUCAUCUUCAAAAUGUCACGACGACAACGUAAAUUAAUGCGGCACUGCAAAAAUAAUAUCACUAAACACAAACUGAAACAAAUUUCUAGGGAGAUAUUCCUGAUGGCAGUUGCAUCGUUCAAGACAGAAGUAAUUGUUCUUUAACUUAUUUUCUAAAUACGCAUACAAUUGUAAAACACAGUCAAAUUUUAUUGAGUGAAAUUAUGGUUGGAACGUGAUGGAGAUUUCCAUUCCUCCAAUUCUCUUCGUACACCUCUCUUGUUGUACCCAAUUUCUUCGAAGGCCUUUAGGGAUGGUGCUGUUCGUUCAACGGUGUUACUGCCAAUACAAAAGAUUAACAGUGUUCAAUAAAAUCCUAUAUGUUAGGAAACAAAGUGCUGAAGAAGAAAAAUAAGCACAAUCACAAUAUAAGAAUAUAAUGUUAGGAAACAUGGUAUCCAUGAAAAGAAGGAGAGAAAACUAAGAAACUCUUUCUAUUGAUGAAAAUGGAAUAUUACAAAAUGAGAAAAGUACCCUCUAAUGGGGUGGUUACAAGUUAUUUAUACUACUCUCUACUAGGACUAAUAUGCUACUAAUCUAUAUCUCUAAUAGUCCCCCUCAAGUUGGAAGGUGUUCAAAACACUUCCAACUUGAAAUGAGAAAAUACAAGGAAAGAUGCCAGAAAUACAUUGGCCAAGAACAUAGCAACAAUCAAAGGCUUAUCCAACAAGAGGAAACCACAACUCAAGGUGUAAUCACCUUGGAGGAAGAAGCAGCAAACCAACGCUUAACCACCAUCCGGUAGAAGCCAAUCAUCAACAAAGCCUUAAAAGGCACAAUGCUUAACCAUCAAGAGUUCUCAAUAACUCAAGACAGAAGCACAAGAAGAAGAAGAAAAUGACGCUUAACCAUCCUUGGACAGAAGCACAACGACGCUUAACCAUUCAUGACAGAAGCUUAUCAACAUAGCUUAACCAUCAUGAACAGAAGCACAAGACAAGAAGAGUAAGGAUAUCUAAAAUCAAUGAUGAUCUCCAAAAGAAAAAGUGCAAGGAAGGGCCAAAGUUUACAAUGGAAGGAGGUCAUAUGUUGAACAAACUGCACAUCAAAGGUACCAUGAAGCAACAAGACCAAGGUUCCAAAGUUAAAAAAGAGAUGCGCUCCAAUGCCGAGCCGAGACAAGAAAAACCAAAUGCAAGCCAAUAGAGAUGCAUAGCCAUGUGAGGUGUCUUCAAACCAUAGAAAACAAAUCCAUGUUGAUGCAUUCAAACCAUAGGCCAACAAAUCAAUACUUCCAACAAUGAAGCUUAAGAAAAUACCAACAUAGCCAAAACCAGAAAAAAAAAAAUGCAGCAGUAAUGCUGCACAAAAUAAAACCAAAAUGCAGCUAAGAGACAUCAAAAUGAACUCAAGAAGAUGCUUUAACGGUCUGCCCAAAAAUUCAUCAACGAUCCAGGAACAAUCCCAUGCUUCAGAUAUCAAACCAAGGCUUCCAAAAACGAUCCUAAGCCAUCAAGAAAUAAAUCCAUAGCCAAUGAACAAAAUGCAGUAGCAAUAUGAAGCACUGUACUGUGUUGGAAUAGCAUGCAACACUAACAAAAUGCCUAAUCAGCCUCACAAUUUCAUUUGUUCCUUUCACACACAAGAAUAUAGAGAAACCAUCUGAACAGCUUGGAGUGUACUAAAGGCUUCUUCAAUUACUAUUCAAAAAAUGCUUGACCAUAUCAGAUCCAACACCAUGAUAAGCAAUCAAAUGCCAAACAAAACUUAGCCCACCAGUAUGCAAUAUCUAUAAGACUACCAAGUGUGAUAGCAACACCAUAAAAGAAACAAAGAAGUAUGCCAAAACCAAUGAUAUCCAAAGAGAAUGUAGAACAAACAACCAAGCUGUAAUUGGAUCCCAAAGAAUGCAUCAAAAAAACUAUACGUGAAAGGAAGAUCCUUACAUAACACUGCAACAACAUAGCCAUACACAUAAGUCUGGGUCCGCCAAUCUUCAAUCAUAAUAUAAGAGUACCUUAACAUGAACUGCUCCAAAAAUGUAGUAGUGAUGAAGAGGUUCACAAGAAAAUGCACGCAUAGACCAAUAACGUCAUGCAGCAGUCAACAACAGCACCUCAAAGCAAGUCCAAUGCAAUGUUGGAUCAGAACAAAUUGCAGUGUUACCAACAACCAUCACCAUCAAACUGAACGUAAUAUGCAAUAAGGACCAAAAAACACCAAAAUAUCAAGGUAAUAGAAUCCAACUCUAUCUGCACCACAUGCACAAUUGUAUACAACCAGAGAAAAUGAACUAAUUGCAGCCUUGUCUAAAUAGCAGAACAUAGAACUUCAUCAAAAGAAUCAUGAACCAAGAAUCAAUAUGUUUGCAGUGAGGACUUGCUACAAACAUCUUGUGAGCACAAUAGUCAUAAACUGCAGUUACAAUAAAACUCGCUUAUGAGAAACCGAAUUCUCAAUACAAUACAAUAAUGAAACAGGGAAGAAGAUGAAAUAUCAACGACACAUAGAAUCAAUGCGAAAAAGACGACUCUGAGCCGAAUCGAAAAUUUUAAUGAAGAGGAAUCGCAAAAAAAAAUAAAAUUGAAUCACGGAUUCGAAUCGAAACUGGAAAUUGCGAUCGAGUAAGAAUUCGAUCAAGACUUUUGAAUCACGUGGGAAAUUGAACCAAAACUAACAGAACAAAGAAGAACGAACAAAGAAAAUUGAUCGAGAGAGAAAAGGAAAUCGCCAUUGUAACUGAAUCGCAAACCCUAAGAUUUGGGAAAAAGACACAAACGGAAUCACGAAGCAAUCGAUCGAACAAAAAGAUGUAAAAGAAUCGAAUGAAAUUGAGAUGCAGAUCAAAAGAGAAAUCGAUCGAACAAAUCAAUAACAGAAAAACGAUUCGAGUACAAGACAAAGGAAAAUGAAGAAAAUGAAGUGAUAAAAGAGAAAAAUCAGAACGAAGAAGAAAAGGAAAACAACACGAGAAAAAUGAACUUUUCUCGAGAAAAUGCAGCGGAAAAAUUGUUCAAGGUGGAUACCAAUCAUGCUCUGAUACCAUGUUAGGAAACAUGGUAUCCAUGGAAAGAAGGAGAGAAAACUAAGAAACUCUUUCUAUUGAUGAAAAUGGAAUAUUACAAAAUGAGAAAAGUACCCUCUAAUGGGGUGGUUACAAGUUAUUUAUACUACUCUCUACUAGGACUAAUAUGCUAAUAAUCUAUAUCUCUAAUAUAUAACGUGGAAACUUUAAAACUGGAUAAAAAACCACGACCGUUGUCUAAACCGACAACCAGAAAAUGAUUACUAUGGGAUUUUUUUUACAACACAUAGACUUCUCUCACUCUCACCCCAAUGCUCCAGUACAAUCAUACUCUCACAAAGCAAAUAUUUAAACUAAGUCAGAUAUAAGCUUAAAGUGCUACUGACUGGUGCAUCUACAAACAAAGAACCUAGGUCCAAUAUAUAGUCAUGGUCCUCCCAUUGCUUCACCACACUAAGCGAUGUAGGACUUUUCCAAUAGCAAAUAUUUUUUAACCUCCUUAUUUAUUUAAGAAACUUGACAAUCAAACCCAACAAUCUCCACCUUGAUUGUACGAGUUUCAUCUUUCGCUUCCAUUGUUUAUACUGACAAUCAUACUCCACCAUAAAGAGUAUACUUCACUUGAAACUAGACCUUUCCAAGAAUUUCUCCACGUCAAAACCUUGCUGAAAGAUUACGGUGCAACUCCCAUGUUGGAUUUCAGGAAGUUCUUCAGCCAUCGACACAUCUCACCACACACCUUGCAUUAAUUAAUUUCUUAAACAAUUUAUAAUUAAUUUGUAUCUCGUUUAAAGACUACAAAAUUUCAUUGUGAAGGUUCUUAUCAUGUUCUAGUCAUGCCUACAAAAUUAGGGAACUAAAUUUGACUUGUGAGUAUACGCUUACGCGGAACAAAAUUUCAAUUUUGCAUGUUUUGAUUGAAAAAUCAAAAUAAAUUUAAACGACUUCGAAAUGCAAUGAAACUUUACAGAUCCGUUUUAUGUAUUUUUUUAUAGAUGUCUAUGCAAAUAAUGAGCUCAAAAUUCGAUUUAUAGGUCGAGAUUUCCAUUGUUUUGUUUUUUGAGCUUUUGACACUUUAAAAAUUCAUAAUUAAUUUGUCGUAUGUCGAAAAUUUAUAUAUUUUUAGUGUAAAGCCAUAUUUUAACAUUCUUAACUCGCCUCUAACAAAUCAUGAAAAAAAUUGAAUCUCUCGGUUUCUUUUUUGGACUUCGCAUAUAUUACAGAGUUAUAAAUAAUAAAAAUCUUGAGUUACAUGGUAAGAAUACAUGUUAUUUAAUUACAGGGCCAAUUUUCAGACUUCACGUAUAUUAUAUGAUCAAUUUCAAUUAAUAAUCUUAUUUUAAAUUGUACUUUUGUUGACUAAAUGAUAAAACCUAUUUUAUUUCGAUUUUUUUAAUUAAAAUUAAAAUUAAAAAAAAAGUUUCAAUUUAUGAUUGUUGAUAUAUUAUGUCGCAUGUGAAUUUGCGAUAAAUUUUUUGCCCAAUCUCCAUAAAUUUCCAGACUCCGCCACUGUAUAGUACCUACUCAAAGAAUACUUGUUAUCAUCCCUAAUUGUGCGCUAACACUCCUCAAUUCAAAAUGACAUAAUAGCAUGCUUGUUGAGGAAAAAUUAUUGCCUUUAUUAUAACAAAAUUAGUUAAUUUUUUUUUUGAGGAAAACUGAAUUAGUUAGUGAAAAUUAAGUAAAAGACUAUGAAGAUAAUUUAAAUUUAUACAAAUCGUCACUUGACCAAUCUUAUUGCAAUAAAUUAAUAAAACGUCAUUUCAAAAAGAUUUGUGGCUGAUCCUUAAAAAAUAAAAUCAUUCCGUGACAAUUUUUUUUAUUCUUUUUCAAAUCUUUACUCUAAAUCUUCAUCUGUCACACACAACUAACUCAAACAUCCAUAGACGUGCAAUCAAUCUCAAUGAAAGAUUAGACUACAGGGUCUUUUAUUAAUACUCUUUGUGUACACAAAUUGAAUUCACUUAAAUGUUGUUUAAAAUUCUAAUUUUAGAGUUUACAUGAAAUGAAAGAACAUAUGUUGACUCACUUAUUGUAACCUUACAUGAAAUAAGACAACAUAUAUGUAUGCAUUGUUUUAAAAACAUUGAAGAUAAACUGAAUUUACGUAGGGUAUAUAAACUGAGUUUGCAAAUUAUACAACUCUACGUAAAUUAAGAUAGAGAAUGGAGAGAGAAAAAGGAAGAUAGAGAAUAAGAAGAUAAUGUGAGUAUGAGAGAGAAAGUUGUUAAAAUGUUUUUUUAAAGAAAAAAGUUGUUAAAAUGUUGUCACAAAGUGGAUGUACAAAUAUCAUUUCUCUAUAUAAAAUAUACAAAAUAUAUGGAGGAUUAUUGAUAAAAAAAAACAUGGGGAUUAAUUAUUGCUAAGAAUAAAUUAUUUUGAAAUACUCCCCUAUUUUUUUUUUUAAAUUCUCUUGACCAAAUUUUUCUUUUUUUAAAAUUCAUUGAAAUAAACCAAAAACAAAUACUCCAUUUCUAACAAAAAUAUAGACAUAAAGAGGAUCAAAGCGUCAAAUAGUCUUGCCCUCAAUUUUUUUUACUUUUAGAACAUCUUUUGUUUAUGUUUUCGUUACAAAGAGUAUGCAAAAUUAGACUGACUUAUUUUAAUUCAUUUAUAUAUAAUAUAUGGUAGUAUUUGUGAUAAUGUUUGUUAGAACCUAUGAAAAUAAUUUAUAACAUCUAAGUUUAGUUCCAUAAUUUUACAGAAUAGUUUAUAGAAACAACUUAAAAAUAUAUUAAAUAUAAAUGUUUUUUUUUUGUUUUAAAAAAGUAUAUAGAAAUAUUUAUAUUGAUAAGCUUAUAAUAUAUAUAUAUUAUGAAGUAAAAACAUCCUUUGUAUAUUAUAAACGAUUAAUUAUUUUGUUUAUUCAAAUAUGACCUCCUAUAUUAUUUUUUUUUUUGUUGGAAAGACGUCUAAAAACUAAUCAUUUUUGGUGGUGGUCGGGGUUCAACCCAGUAUAUAUUAUGCAUUGUUCCUACCCACUGAGCUAAGCUCAUGAUGACCCAAAAACCAAUCAUUGAUACACGAUAUAUAUAUAUAUAUAUAUAUAUAUAUAUAUAUAUAUUGACAAAAAUAAAUGAUAUGCAUUCAUUCAAAUUGAUAGAGUUCAUCGAUACAAUACUAAUUCGAUAAAAAGAAAAAGAAUGAAUUUGCGAACAAACUCAUAACAUCCAUGUUAAUAUCAUAAAACAACAAAGUACAAAAACAUACUUAUAUGACUAUAUUCAAGUAUCCGGAAUACCCAUGUCUCUAGAUCUGCAACGUGGACGACGCAAAGUCAUAGAUUGAAUCUGCACUGGUCGAAGCGGAUAUGACAAUCUAAACCGAACAAAUACCUGCAUGAAACAAAUAAGACAAACAAUGUUGCACAAAGACGACGAACAAACCAAUGUCGCACUAUGACGGCGAAAUCACAAAAUAAAAAACAAAAUAGAUGUGAAAAUCACUUAUUUCAAUUAAAAGAAAAUAAAAAAGCGAGUUAGAUGGGUGAUUUAGGGUUAAAAACUGACUCUAAAACACCUCUACUUGAUAGAUGAGGGAGAAGAAACUAGAGUUUUGGUGACGGCUCACAAGAAAGAAAAAGAAAAGAGAAAUUUAUAUAACGAUAUAGGUAUCUCUAAGUAAAUUUGUUAAAAAAAAAAAGUGUCACUAAGUAAAACAUAGAUAAAAUAAAGAGAACCAAUAUGGAAAUAUAUAAAAAAAUGCAAACAAAUAGAAGACUAUAGAUAUGUUAAAUAAAUUUUUAGUUAUAAUUUAUUAAAUAAAAAUUUUAUUAAUUUAAUUUGUCAAAAAUAAAACCUUAUUAAUUUAAAUUGACUAAAAAAUGAGUGAUAAUGUGUCAACAAAAUUCACUAGAAUCCCUAGUCGUCACCCAUUUCUUCUUCUUGUCUAUUGAAGAUGAAUGAUUUAGGGUCAAUUCUAACCUAAAAUCACCCAUCCGAAUUGUUUUUCUUUCUUUUCUAGUUGAAUAAGUGAUUUCCAUAUAUUUUUUUAUUGUUCUUUCGUUUGUUUUUGUGAUUUCAUCGUCUUUGCAUGACUCUGUUUAUUUUGAUUUUCCAUCUUAAUGUCGUGUUUAUUUGAUUGAGGUUGAAAUAUUAGCUUUGAUUAGGUGCAAAUCCGAAGACAUGAGUAUUCCAGAGAUUUGAAUAUAGUCAGGUUUGUAGGCAUAAAUACUUUGCAGUUUUAUGUUAACAUGAAUGUUGUGAUUUAUCCUUUUUGUUUUUAGAGACUUUAAAUUUAUAUUAUAUCGAUAUACUCUAUAAAUUAAAAUGAAUGAAUAUCGUUUAUUUUUUUUAAAAAAAGUCAGCAGAAUUAAAAUACUAUGAUUUGCUAAUUUGCUCAUUCACCUAUAUUGUUUAGUUGGUUUAUAUUAGUAAGUUGGAAUAUAUUAUUAUCCAUGAGAUCAUAUGGUUUACGUACUGAUUUAUCUUAUAUUAUUUUUUUUGAAAUAAUUUACAUUAUAUUACUAAAAAAAUGGAAUCGUAUUGGUGGCAUAUGAACUGGGACCGUCAUUGCUGUAUUAUCAUUGCUAUAUGUAGUUUUUAUUUCAUAUGCUUGGGCCUAUAUUAUAUGGUCAGACUGUAUUAUAUUUGGAUCUUCUUACAGGUAAGCUGACUUUUAUAAAAUUUGAAUCAUUAAGAAGGUAACGUUUUCCAUAGGACAAACAUGAGUUACUAUAAUUAGACAUUAUCAUUCCUUUGUUUUUUUCGGAUAAUUUUUUAUAAAUUCUUCUUAUUUCACAUAUAAUAUUUUUUACAUUUCCCUCCCUCUCUACCUCCCUAUAAAUAGCUUGCCAAUUCCAUCGUUUCCUCAUACCAAGUUCAAUAAUCAAAAAUCAUCAUCCAAUAAUAAGAUGAAGAUUAUUCACAUAGUUUUUCUUUUCUUUUUUCUUUCAUUCACUACUUCCCAAGCUUCUGUCAAUGAUUUUUGUGUAGCAGAUUUAAAGGCUCCAGAUACCCCUUCAGGCUAUCAGUGCAAACCCCUAGCAAAUAUCACAUCAGACGAUUUUGUCUUUCAUGGCUUCGUAGCCGGAAACACCAACAACUCUUUCAACGCUGCACUUACCUCCGCAUUCGUCACUGAAUUUCCAGGCCUUAACGGACUAGGAAUCUCAGCAGCGCGGUUAGACAUAGCCGAAAAUGGUUCAAUUCCAAUGCAUACUCAUCCCGGUGCUACCGAAUUAUUGAUAAUAGUUCAAGGUGAAAUAACCGCUGGAUUUCUGACACCUACCUCAGUUUAUUCUAAGACGUUGAAACCGGGUGAUCUUAUGGUUUUUCCACAGGGGAUGUUGCAUUUUCAAAUUAACACUGGUAAGGGAAAAGCUACUGCUUUUCUUACAUUUAGUAGUGCUAAC